rnacentral:rRNA from 1 species
ACCAUAGAUAUCAGGUGUGCGCCGGCGUGGGCUCGAACCCUGUAUAUUGCUUCGGCGUACGGAUUCUUAUUCUACACCUGUGAAGCCUGUCGAAAGGACAGGUAGAGAAUUUGACAGCUACAUCAUUCCAGUUAUGUCCGGACCCUCAAGCCAAGAGCAGCAUUUAUUAGAACAUAACCAACGGAGAGCAGUUCCGGCUGUCUCUAUUGAAUCUGUAAUGACUCUGAAUAAUUUUAGGGAUCUCAAUCCGCCCCGAUUUGACUAGAGAUAUUUCGAAUAUAGUGGUUUGAUUGGUAAGGUGCCUACCUACUAUGGUAAUAACGUGUAACUCAGAAUCAGGAUUGUAUUCUGGAGGAGGAGACUGUGUAAUGUCUGCCACAUCUCAAGAUGGCAGCAGUCGCGAAAAUUACUCACCCAUGGCACAUGGAUGCGCUGGUGAAAAACAAGAAUACGGUACUCAGUUGAAGCUUCGUGAUUCAAAUGAGUACAAUUUAAAUCAUUUGAUAAGAACCAAUUGGAUGUUAAAUCUAGACCCAGCAGCUGUGUUAGUUCUAACUCCAGAAGCGUAGAUUAAAACUGCUGCAGUUAAAACGUUCAUAGUUUGACUUGGAUCAUGCGGUCUCAUGCAGUCACUUUUUCACGGAGUCUGUUAACCAUUUGUCAAGGGUGGAUGAUGUCCUUACUUUAAACAAAUCUGAGUUUUCGAGGGAGGCUUUUGUGCCUAGAAAGUCUUUCAUGAUAUAAUGAAACCGGAUUUCAGUUCCAUUUUGUUGGUUUUCGGAUCCGAAGUAGUGAUUAGGAGGGAUGAACGGGGGUGUCAGAUGUGAAAUUCCGGGGUCAUCGCCAGACAAAUUAUAGAGAAAGCACUUGUCAAGAAUAUUUUCAAUGAGCGAGAGUGGGAGCCAGAGUUUCGAAGACAAUGAGAUACCGUCCUAGUUCUGACCAUAGACAUUUUCGACUGACGAACCACGAUGGUUCUUCGGUCCCCGUAAAACCCUAAAAUCUUUGGUCUGCGAGAAAAUGUUGGUUGCAGAGCUAAAGCUUAGAGGAAUUGAUGGAAGGACACUACACCACCAAAUACAGGAAGAGCCGUCAGACCCGGACAUUGUUGGGAUCAACAGGCUGAAAACUGUUCUUGAUUUAGUGGAUGGUGGCGUAUGGUCAUUAUUAGAUGAUGUGGUCAUUUGUCUGGUUAGGUACAACAACGAACCAGACUUUAACCAUAGUAAGUAGCAUAUUGGUGAUCUGCCUUUUCAGGUCUCAGCUUCUACUGAUUCUUUAUGUAAUAGUGUGGUAGUGAUUCAGCAGGUACAGUGGCAGUUUGGUAUCACACGAAAUUCGGCAGUAACGAGUCUUUGAUGCUCUUAGAUACCCGGGGCCCCACCUAAACCACAAUGAAGGUACGUAAAAGUCUAGGAACUAGGCACGAAAGGGUUGGGCACUGUCUCGUCAUGGCUGUGGUUGCGAUAGGGGUUUACACCAAUUCCCCAUGAACGAGGAGUCCCUAGUAAAUGCAAGUCAUGAGCGUGAGCUGAUUAUGUCCAUACUCUCUGUGCACACUACUCGUCACUACUACUGACUGAACGAUUUAGUGUUGUCGUUGCAAUAGCUUUGCCACCCAAAUGAUGCAGAGAAGACAACCAAACUUGACUAUUUAGAGGAAGUAAACGUCGUAGCGACGCUUCCACAGAUGAACCUGCAUAAGUAUCAUUA